GUGCUUGCGUCGGCAGCACAUACAUAAAAAUUGAUGGACACAGAGAAGAUUAGCAUGGCCCCUGCGUCAGGGUGACAUGCAGAUCUGUGAAGGGUCCCGUAGUUUU
rnacentral:snRNA from 1 species